UGCGGCUCUGAUUCCACAUUGCUGUGGCUGUGGUGUAGGCUGGCAGCUGUAGCUUGGAUUUGACCCCUAGCCUGGGAACUUCCAUAUGCUGCAGGUGCAACCCUAAAAAGCCAAAAAAAAAAAAAAAGCGUAGCCUAAGAACUUGUUUGGGGAUCAGCACAGUUAUCAGGUUACUUGAUAUCUUCAUUUCUGGAUCUGUGAAAUGGGCUUUACUUCUCUAACGCCCUCCCUGUGGCACGUGGAAGACUGAGAGAACAUUUGCAAGGCAUUCUGAAUUCUUUCAAGAGGAGCCAAAGAGGACUACAAGACUUUUAUUCAUUAAAUACAAAAACCUUUCAUCCCCCACCCUACCUGAAGACCUUGGUUAGACAGAAAUAAUGUAGUGACUGUGUUGCAACAUGUUUUUCCUCUGGUCUGUUUCUUAUUCCUCCAGAGUAAGAGGCAUGGACGUUUCAACCUCAACUGAAGGCAUUGAUUGGGAGGGUUUCUCCCAGAGUUGGCCCACUUGGAAACCAGGCAGAAUCAACUGAGGGCCCUUGCCUUGAGCAGAGCAGAGCUCCAGAAAACAAAGUCACAGGACAGAGAGCCCCAGGGAAGAAGUCUGCUGGGAAGAAAAGGAUGACAAGGGUGAGUAAUUUCUCUCAAGAAGCCGAGAGGAAGUCAUACUUCUGCUUCCUGGUUGGCCCUGGUCAUUCUUUCCCUCUGUUUCUCCUCUCUCCAGUCUGCUAGGUAUUAGCUCUGCAGCCUUAGGUCACUCAAUUCCUCAGAAUUUAUGUUCUGAAAUAAGCAGGUAUUUAAUAGGGCCCAUCCAUGUGGCCAAUCUUCUGGGAUAUAUAUAUAUAUAGUCUUUUUAGGGCUGCACCUGCAGGCUAGGGGUUGAAUCAGAGCUGUAGCUGCUGGCCUACGCCAGAGCCACAGCAACACCAGAUUUGAGCCUCGUCUGCAGCCUACACCAUAGCUCACAGCAAUGCCAGAUCCUUAACCCAUGGAGUGAGGCCAGGGAUCAAACUUGCAUCCUCAUGGAUGCUAGUUGGGUUCGUUAACCACUGAGCCACACAGGAACUCCUGGGACCUAUAUUUUGCACCUAUGAGACACGUGGUCUCAUAAUAAGAUCUGUGGAAGGUGGAUGAAGACUGCAGUGGGUUCUGGUUUUGAUGCCCCAAUUCCCCAGCGUUGACCAGGCACUCCCUUCCUGAGCUGUGCCCUUUAGGAGACGGUAGGCUGAACAAGCUCAUCCAACCCACCAGAAAGUCUUGGUCAGUGGCUUUGGAGAAGUCAGAGACUGUGUCCUAUCCUGUUAGGGAGCCUGGUUUCUGGUGUGAGGAAGAGUGAAUCACGACCCUCUCCUACCUGAUCCACUUGCCUAGGAGGAGCUGUGCAGAGUCAUCCUUAUUGAGUAAUGAUAAUUGUUAAAUGACUCCGAGCCAACUCAAAGGUCUGUCUCUACUCUCCUGAAAGCGCUGAUUAUAGAAUAAUGCCCUCCGGUUUCAUAACUGGAUGAAAUCCACAUCAACAUGAGAGAGGGAAGGGGAAGGAGAAAGGGGAGGGAGGGUGGAAGAGUAGAGAGAGGGAAGCAGGCUAGCAUGAGAUCUCUAUAAUUAAUAACCCAUGGCACAGAAAAUUCC
rnacentral:lncRNA from 1 species